UUGAAAUAUAGUUGCAACUUCACGGAAUGGACGGCCCAAAUUAUGUUAGUGUCUAUAUGUUUACUUGGUGGUGGUCUAGCGUGAGUGACACCUGCAUCUGUAACUUACCCAUUGGAUGUUCUUUGAAAUCACCUGACAACACAGAAAACCACUAGGUAUUACAAGGGCAUCUUUCACACGUUGUCUACAAUUUGUAUAGAAGAGAAUGGUAGAGGAUUGUAUAAAGGCCUUUGGUCCACCUUAUUGGGAGUUGGACCUGAUAUAUCAAUCAACGUUUAUGUAUAUGAAUCCCUGAGGUCUCAUUGGAAAAUGGAAAGUUGAAUGUCAAACUGUGCGACCAAUGAUUUGAUAUGGUUAAUUCCAGUUGGGUGUGUUAACCUACAGUAAUCAAUCAAGUCAACAAAUAUAACAAUGAUACUUUGUCUUCUGAUUUUUGGUGAUGAUUUUUUUUGUGACGGAACUAACAGGAGUUGAAGCAUGUGUUCUUAUUUUUUUAUAUGACUAGAUGCAUAUGAACUGAAGCUCCAUAAUUUUCUUUUCAAGUCGACAUUGGUGGCAACCAAUACAAUUAGCGUUAUUUACAACCAAUGAAGUCUUAUAAUUUUCUUUCUUAG